rnacentral:rRNA from 1 species
UACGUAGGGGGGCGAGCGUUGUCCGGAUUCAUUGGGCGUAAAGAGCUCGUAGGCGGCUUGGCAAGUCGGGUGUGAAAACUCCAGGCUCAACCUGGAGAUGCCACCCGAUACUGCUAUGGCUUGAGUUCGGUAGGGGACCACGAAUUCCUGGUGUAGCGGUGAAAUGCGCAGAUAUCAGGAGGAACACCGGUGGCGAAGGCGGGUCUCUGGGCCGAUACUGACGCUGAGGAGCGAAAGCGUGGGGAGCGAACAGG